UACAAAAUAAAACAGGAAAUUGCAAAACUGUGACAAUGUUCUGUGAGCCAAAAUCAGUGGGAUAAUUUUGAAUUAGACACAUCAGAAAAUAUAAGUGUGUAAUAAUACAGUGUGUUGAUGUGAGAUCUUGGUCACCUCAUGACACAAAACACACCCUGCUACUUACCAUGGUGGUCCUUUGUAGCUAGGUAAUUCCAGCCAGUUCUAUUCAUGAUGCAUUAAGGAUAAUGCCCUGCAACCUGCCAGCUCAUUACCACUCCAGGGAUUCGUCAGCCAGCCACGUCUACCUCCCUGCUCUGUUCACUCCAGGCUCUGCCUGUUUCCCCCUGUGGUUCUACACUGGAAAACCCUAAACCUACAUCAUUCCCUGCAAUAAAUACCCUUUUACUUUUA